CCUUCAUCUGCCAUGAGGUUGUAAACAGAGUGGCGCCAGAUUCUGACUUUGAAAAUUCACAGCUUUACACUAUCAUGAACCUACACACCCCUUUAAAGUCAGAGACAGAGUCGUGGUGAAGGUGCUCCCCAGGAACAAGAGCCCAGGAGACUUCACCUAUGGUCCAGAGACAGAGGUCGUAGCAGUUACCCGAACAGCAGUCCUGACAGAGGAAAGUCCUACCUGGAUCCAUGCAUCCCGAGUAAAAAAGGUUCCUAGACCAGACCUAGAGAGGGAAGCAAGUGAUUCCAGUGAGGUACGAACCGGGGCAGACAGCCCUGACCUCCCACCUAGCGAAGAAAGAAGAACAGAAGAAGAUGAGGAACCUGUCCCCUAUCUCUAUCCUGGGGACUAUCUCGAUAGCCCUACUGGCCCUCAUUCACCUCACAAUAUGUGAAGUCGACAUCACACAAACAGAUGGGGUCCCCACCUUGUGGUACAAUUCCUCCAAUACACACGUAGCCACAUACAUCCUUGAUUAUUUCAUGUUCCCUAAACUUGCUGACAACAAACACAAUAAAAGCAACUGUUAUGUCUGUGGCAAAUCUAGGCCCCACCUAGGUACAGUGCCCCUUAAUAUACCCCUAGAACAGGAAAAUUGUUUUUUCAGCCUUUUUAAUGACACCAAAACAAAUGACAGUCAGUGCGAAAUGUGGAAAAGGGAAUAUCCCAUAUUGUCAAAAAAUCCCAACCCAGGAAGCACCAUAACCAUAUAUCCUGGAAACUAUACCUGUUAUACAUCUAACACCACCACAGGGAGACAUUUAAAAACCUUCCCACCAGGGUAUUGUGCAAAUAAGCAUAUUCAUACUUGUAACUUUAAUUCUUGUAGGCAUUAUAGUUUAUUGUGUAAUUCCCUGUGGAAAGAAACUUACCUCCAAAGGCAUUGAUAAGGCCCUGAUGUACUAUGAUAUAACCACCAGUCCUGUCACCUCCUCUGAUAGUAAGGGACCCGACGAUUAUGUCCAAUAUCUCAAGAACUGGAGGAACAAGAAAGGAGCCUCACUCAAGAAUCAUGUCAUAUAAUAAUCAUGAUUCUAAGAGGGGAUUGAAGGGUUAGCUCUUCUGUCUCUGUAAAUAUUACUUUUUAUAUGAUCAAUUUCCUCAUAAUAGUUACAGUGUAAAAGUGAAUAUUUCUACUUCCCUAAUGAAGGGUUAAAACAUGCUAUAUGAACUGUUAUGUGCUUGCAUAGAUGCGUGCUACCCUGUGCUGGAUACCUUUAUCUCCUCAUACAAUACCAGGCUUGUAUGUGUCUGACUUCUCAAGGUCAGUUCUAUACCAGAUGAAACCUGUUACAGACUUUGUUAAAUGUUUUGAGAAACUUGUAGAAAACCCAUAUAUGAACAUCCGCCUUUUUCAAUUCUGCCUGGUAACUACCAACAAGCCAAUGGGAGUGUAACGACAUGUCAGUUACACCCAUAUACAUUGUCUUAUAUACUUUUGUUAACCUCAUAAUAAACAGUGUGAAUUUUUA